rnacentral:rRNA from 1 species
UUCACCCGAAGGCGCUACGCUAACCCGCAAGGGAGGCAGGCGACCACGGUAAGGUCAGCGACUGGGGUGAAGUCGUAACAAGGUAGCCGUAGGUGAACCUGCAGAAGGAUCA